AAGACGGGUAGCUGGUCUGAGAGGAUGAUCAGCCACACUGGUACUGGAACACGGACCAGACUCCUACGGGAGGCAGCAGUGGGGAAUCUUGGUCAAUGGGCGCAAGCCUGAACCAGCGACGCCGCGUGAGUGAUGAAGGCCUUCGGGUUGUAAAGCUCUGUGGGGAGGGACGAAAGAGCUCAGUCGAAUAGGCUGAGCAGUUGACGGUACCUCCUUAGCAAGCACCGGCUAACUCUGUGCCAGCAGCCGCGGUAAGACAGAGGGUGCAAACGUUGCUCGGAAUUACUGGGCGUAAAGCGCGUGUAGGCGGGCUUGCAAGUCAGAUGUGAAAUCCCCGGGCUCAACCCGGGAACUGCAUUUGAAACUGCAAGCCUUGAGUAUCGGAGAGGAAAGCGGAAUUCCUGGUGUAGAGGUGAAAUUCGUAGAUAUCAGGAGGAACACCGGUGGCGAAGGCGGCUUUCUGGACGAUAACUGACGCUGAGACGCGAAAGCGUGGGGAGCAAACAGGAUUAGAUACCCUGGUAGUCCACGCUGUAAACGAUGAACACUAGGUGUCGUGGGUAUUGACCCCCGCGGUGCCGUAGCUAACGCAUUAAGUGUUCCGCCUGGGAAGUACGGUCGCAAGACUA
rnacentral:rRNA from 1 species